UCCGCCAUGGUGUAACGGCAGCACGACGGCCUUUGGAGCCGUGAGGCCCAGGUUCGAAUCCUGGUGGCGGAG
rnacentral:tRNA from 1 species